CAAGUCGAGGGAGAACCAGUUGCUCCGUAAGGAGCAGUUGGGGAAACCGGCGAACGGGUGCGUAACACGUGAGGAACCUGCCCUGGAGACCGGGAUAGCCCGGGGAAACCCGGAUUAAUACCGGAUAUGCUCACCAGAUCGCAUGAUCUGGCGAGGAAACAGUCCGCUGCUCCAGGAUGGCCUCGCGGCCUAUCAGCUUGUUGGUGAGGUAACGGCUCACCAAGGCUUAGACGGGUAGCUGGUCUGAGAGGACGAUCAGCCACACUGGGACUGAGACACGGCCCAGACUCCUACGGGAGGCAGCAGCAGGGAAUAUUGCACAAUGGGCGAAAGCCUGAUGCAGCGACGCCGCGUGCGGGAUGAAGGCCUUCGGGUUGUAAACCGCUUUCAGGAGGGACGAAAAUGACGGUACCUCCAGAAGAAGGCCCGGCCAACUACGUGCCAGCAGCCGCGGUAAUACGUAGGGGCCAAGCGUUGUCCGGAUUUAUUGGGCGUAAAGGGCUCGUAGGCGGUUUUGGUAAAUCAAUCGUGAAAUGUC
rnacentral:rRNA from 1 species